rnacentral:rRNA from 1 species
GAUGGACCCGCGUCUGAUUAGCCAGUUGGCAGGGUAACGGCCUACCAAAGCAACGAUCAGUAGCCGGCCUGAGAGGGUGGACGGCCACAUUGGGACUGAGACACGGCCCAAACUCCUGCGGGAGGCAGCAGUGGGGGAUAUUGCACAAUGGGGGAAACCCUGAUGCAGCGACGCCGCGUGAGUGAAGAAGCAUUUCGGUGUGUAAAGCUCUAUCAGCAGGGAAGAAGAAUGACGGUACCUGACUAAGAAGCCCCGGCUAACUACGUGCCAGCAGCCGCGGUAAUACGUAGGGGGCAAGCGUUAUCCGGAUUUACUGGGUGUAAAGGGAGCGUAGACGGCAAUGCAAGCCAGAUGUGAAAACCCGCAGCUCAACUGGGGGAGUGCAUUUGGAACUGUGUAGCUGGAGUGCAGGAGAGGUAAGCGGAAUUCCUGGUGUAGCGGUGAAAUGCGUAGAUAUCAGGAGGAACACCAGUGGCGAAGGCGGCUUACUGGACUGUAACUGACGUUGAGGCUCGAAAGCGUGGGGAGCAAACAGGAUUAGAUACCCUGGUAGUCCACGCUGUAAACGAUGAAU